rnacentral:rRNA from 1 species
AAUAUUGGACAAUGGGGGGAACCCUGAUCCAGCUAGGCCGCGGGUGUGAAGAAGGUCUUCGGAUUGUAAAGCACUUUAAGUUGGGAGGAAGAGUUGUAGGCUAAUACCUUGCAAUUUUGACGUUACCAACAGAAUAAGCACCGGCUAACUUCGUGAGAGCAUCCUCGGUAAUACGAAGGGUGCAAGGGUUAAUCGGAAUUACUGGGCGUAAAGCGCGCGUAGGUGGUUCGUUAAGUUGGAAGUGAAAGCCCCGGGCUUAACCUGGGAAUUGCUUUCAAAACUGACGAGCUAGAGUACGGUAGAGGGUAGUGGAAUUUCCUGUGUAGCGGUGAAAUGCGUAGAUAUAGGAAGGAACAUCAGUGGCGAAGGCGACUACCUGGACUGAUACUGACACUGAGGUGCGAAAGCGUGGGGAGCAAACAGG